AUUGAACGCUGGCGGCAGGCUUAACACAUGCAAGUCGAACGAGUGGCGGACGGGUGAGUAGUGCUUGGGACUCUAGCUUAUGGAGGGGUAUAACUACGGGAAACUGUAGCAAAUACCGCGUACUAUAGGAAGCGCCCAAGGGGGAUUAGGUAGUUGGGGAGGUAACGGCGCACCAAGCCGACGAUCUCUAGCUGGUCUGAGAGGAUGACCAGCCACACUGGGACUGAGACACGGCCCAGACUCCUACGGGAGGCAGCAGUGGGGAAUAUUGCGCAAUGGGGGCAACCUGACGCAGCCAUGCCGCGUGAAUGAAGAAGGCCUUCGGGUUGUAAAGUUCUUUCGGUAGCGAGGCGUUAACUACAGAAGAAGCACCGGCUAACUCCGUGCCAGCAGCCGCGGUAAUAC
rnacentral:rRNA from 1 species